rnacentral:lncRNA from 1 species
AGAAGGGGUGAAGCUCUCCCUCCCAGAACCUUCUCCACCCUUCCAACAUCCUUCCCUGAUGAGGAGAGGAACACCCCUGUGGCCAGGGUUAGCCAUGAACAAGUACACUGCAGGGCCUAGAGGUUCCACCUGAGCUCUGCAAAGGGAAAGAAGGUAGGUGAGCUGUCCUGGGAGCACUCUUGCCUCUUCUGCCCUUCGCUCCUGGCCAAGUGGGCAUAUUACACCUGAGGACAGAAGAUGGGCUUCUCUGAAAAACCCUCUAUGUUAUGGACAUACCUGCCUUCUCCAAGUC